ACAAUGGAGAGUUUGAUCCUGGCUCAGGAUGAACGCUAGCGGCAGGCUUAAUACAUGCAAGUCGUGGGGCAGCGCGGGUAGCAAUAUCUGGCGGCGACCGGCAAACGGGUGCGGAACACGUACGCAACCUUCCUUCAAGUGGGGGAUAGCCCAGGGAAACUUGGAUUAAUACCCCGUAAUAUUAUGAGGUGGCAUCAUCUUAUAAUUAUAGCUUCGGCGCUUGGAGAUGGGCGUGCGGCUGAUUAGGUAGUUGGCGGGGUAACGGCCCACCAAGCCUGCGAUCAGUAACUGGUGUGAGAGCACGACCAGUCACACGGGCACUGAGACACGGGCCCGACUCCUACGGGAGGCAGCAGUAAGGAAUAUUGGUCAAUGGACG
rnacentral:rRNA from 1 species